UUUACAGCAAACUUUGUUAUAUAUAUAUAUAUAUAUUUUUUUUUAUUGGAUAUUACUACAUUGUAUGAAUAUCCAUGAAAUAUUUAAAUUUCGUUAAAAAUGCCGUAGAUAUCCAAGCAAAAUAGGCAUAGACGCUUUAGACUGUCUAAGCGGUUUAGGCGGACAAAAAAAUUGGUGAUCCGAGUUCUUUUUAAUAUGGUUGCAAAGAUGCUCUUCUACAUCAUUUCAUUAUUAGCGUUCAUUUGAGAACAUAGCCAUUUGUACACUUGGUCUCAGAUUAAUCAUUUCUAACAAUUAUGUAGAUUUUGGUCGUUUUCUCUCUGUACAAAUUGUGAACAAACUGCCUAUUGUUUGCAUAUAGCUCUUAUAUUUGCAUAGCUCAUUUUUUUUGCCUUUGAAUCAACUGCGCAUAUAGCUCUUACGAUGUGUUAUGUUGUUUUAUGUUGACUCUCGUUUCAAAAUUUACUUCUAUUAUAGUACAUUAACAUUAACAUUAUUUUCUAAAACCUACGUACCAAUGUAAUAUCCUCUCAUCAUGUAAGGUCAAAUCCUCUCAUCAUCCUGAUGCUAAAUCUUCUGAUCUUCCUAAGGUUCACUUUACCAUCUUAUCUCUAAAUUAUCAUUCAUCAGCUCUGCUAAUUUCCCUUGGUCUUUAGUAGAUUUGACAGUCUCUCUUCUUUUUCCCAUGUUGUAAGUCUUAAAAAAGAAAAAAACUGCCGACAAGAAAAAAAGAAGCUUCUAGCGGGAAUAAGAAGAAAAGUAUGGCUGCUAAAGCACCAACUGGAGCUGAAGAAGCUGAACUUGCCUUGCUCGCAAGAAAGAAGCUAGUGACUUGCUCUUGCGAAGAAAGUUAUGUACAGGAAGGUGAACAAGGAAGAGUACUGCAGCUUUCAUGCUUAUGAAGGGUUUCAGCGGGAUCUCCAGAAACUUUUCAAAGAAAAUGUGACUGCGGCUCUUGCUGGUGACAACCCGAAAACUCGAAAGGAGAGGGAAAUGAAAGAGAAUUUGAAACGAGCCAAGGAAGAGAAGAGGCAAAGUGACACUCUCAAAAUGGCCGAGAACCGGAUGAAGAACACGAGAAUCAAGCCUCCAUGAUGAUGGUGGUCUGGCAAUGACAAGUUGAUGAUCUAGAAUCUUAAGAGAACUCCGAUCCUAAACAUAUUUUACGAGGUUUUUUCCGAUGAAUAUUGUUUCUUAUUAAUAAAUUUUACUAUAUCUCCAGUUUUAGACAUAAUUGUUUUUUUUAUUGGUCAAUCUCAGUGGAAUA
rnacentral:sRNA from 1 species